CCAGGUCUGUCAAAGGAAACAAUGUACACUCCUAAACUUUCGAUGACAUCUUGAGAGAGGAUGUUAAUUGGAACAUCAUGCCUACAACCAUCGUACCCAUGGAUAUAUACAAUCUUAUAUUUUGCAUUAUCUCUAGGUACACCCGUCUCCUUGUAAGCCAAGUGUCUUCCAUCACUAAGUUUGAUUCUAGGUGCAGUGACAGGAGGGCCAUCUGGGGAUCCACAGGUCUUAGGGGGAGGUGGUCGUGUUGCUUGAUAACCCCACGCUAAUAACCCAAUCAAAACAACCAGAAGAAUUUUCGCAAAUGCCCCAGAAGGAAAAGGAAUAGAACUUUUUUUGCUUAGCUUUACGAGUAUGAGCCCUAGCUGAAGCUGCUGAAAUUUUCCUUGUUGACCCACCUGCCAUUUUUUUUUUCAG
rnacentral:misc_RNA from 1 species